UACGUAGGUGGCGAGCGUUGUCCGGAUUUACUGGGCGUAAAGAGAACGCAGGCGGUCUUUUAAGUCUGAUGUGAAAGCCUUCGGCUUAACCGGAGUAGUGCAUUGGAAACUGGGAGACUUGAGUGCAGAAGAGGAGAGUGGAACUCCAUGUGUAGCGGUGAAAUGCGUAGAUAUAUGGAAGAACACCAGUGGCGAAAGCGGCUCUCUGGUCUGUAACUGACGCUGAGGUUCGAAAGCGUGGGUAGCAAACAGG
rnacentral:rRNA from 1 species